GCGCGAGUGCUGGAAUUGGCUAGACAGGUCGGGUUUAGGUCCCGGUGCCCUAGGGCGUGAGGGUUCGAGUCCCUCCUCGCGCA
rnacentral:tRNA from 1 species